CCGGCUCAAAGGGCUUACGAGGGAUUGAUGGUAUUUGGAUAACGGUAAUGAAAGCCUUCGUCAUCUCAACUGUGCAAAGACAUCACUAGAGCAAGUUUAGACAUAGUACUUUUCACAACUGCUUCGGGGUCAUUUCCUGCGGUGCCACCCAGAUACAGUGCUCCUCCUGGCAAUAUUUCCAAUGAUGUAUGGACUCUUCCGAUUAGGAGCGAACUUUCCUUUUGGUUCCUGAUGAUGAGGCAGAAUAAGCCUUUACACCAGUUACUCUACUUCAAAAUUUAUAAGCGCAGGCCAUUCUAUGGUUGUACAACUGCCCGUGACAAAAUUCCGUCAUCCGUUUCGAAUUUGAUCAAUGUUCCAUACGAGUCUAGACCCACUCACUGUCCUCAGACUUUGCUUUCAGUUAUGGACCCUUCCUAAACCACAAACCAAUUGUCCUCUGUUGUUCCGAUUUCUUUUAUUUAAUUUUCUCACUUUUAACUUCUUUGUAUUUAAACUUUUGAUUCAUCAUUUAAGUCUGAAAGAGUUCAUGGGAUCUGGGCAUGAAGUCCGCGAGCAUGUCAUAUUAUUUAAAGCUGCAUUAUAAGGAUUGAAGAAAAUAAAAGAGAAAACAUAGCAAAAAACUAAAAAAUAAAUAAAAAAUGAACGAUGAAAUAUUGAUUUCAUUUCUUGGGAUUGGGAAGAUAACAGGGUUAGAAAUUCAUGAAUUUAAAGAAAGGAAACAAAAUAAAACAUCUGAGUCACACCUUGGGAUAACUUGCGAUGCAGAAAAGUGGCAGGACAAGUCUACCCGGACUCCCGCCUAACUUGGAACGGCGUAGCCUUCCAAUUUUGAAGUUUCAGCAUCUGGUUCCAUGAAUAGCACCUCAGCGGUGCUAGUGCCUUCUCCCAGCUGAAUCAUGUUGGUUUCAUAAAGCAUUUGCCUCAUAGCUCCACAUAUUUCCUCACUUCCUUCAACCGUGAAAAGCUCAUCAUCAUUCUCUUCAUUGUACUUAGGCCUCUGUGGUAUGCGUCCAAUAACCACUGGCUCAUUCAGCCGAGGUGGUUUGAUUGUCGCCCAUACCACAUAGGCUUGCUUGGGUAGAUCAUUUUUCUUUUCCGGUUCUGUCUCGGUGUUUUUACUCUUCUUUUCCCCUUCCUCUUGUUUUGGGGUUGCCUUAGGCUUUCUUUUACAUAUCAGCAACGGCAAUUAUGGCCUUUAAGCGCCGGAUCAAAUUCUUUGUCUUCGCAAAUCAUCCCAAUUACUGGCCCGUUGUUGUG
rnacentral:lncRNA from 1 species